GGGGAGGGUACUAAGUGAACAUGCUAUAGAAACUGCAGGCCUUUUGCAAGCGGCUGCAAUUCUCCCGCCCAGCCUACCACCACUGGACCUGUUCACCACCACUGGACCUGUUCUCUUGUCCAGCCCGCCGCUGCUGGACUCUCCCCUGUAUGUAAGCCCCCAGUAAAACCCCAUGUCUCAUUUGCUGGCUCUGGGUCUCUUUUUUGGCCUCUUGAACCUGGUGCCAUCCCCACUGGAGUUGAUAGGGGUUUGGCACAACAUGAGGGAGGCACAUUUUAUCUUGAGGGUCUGAGUUCUCUGCAUUGCCUUCAAACAAGCGAGGGAGGUGGGGGUGCUAGCUCUUAAGAGGAGAAGGGCACAACUUCUGAAUGCUCAGAGGAUUUAGAGGAGUCUGGGAGUUCAAAAUAUACCCACAUGUCCCCAUCCUAAGUGCCAGAGUUCUACUAACCUUAGCGUAUUGGACCUAUCGUGGUCAUUUAAUUUUCUCUGGAGCUUGAUGGCUGUAUUAAUUCCCAGCUCAGGUCUUCAGCUUUUUCUGCCUUCUUGCUGUAGGAAUUGAAAGCCUCUUUGUAAGCUUUCACAUUUGGCUUUCAUUGCCUGUUAAAUGCCUGCAGCUUUUUAUUGUCUUUUUCUAACAUAUCCAUGAAUUUAGCAAUAGUCACUCAAUUCCAUUAUAGUCACUCGAUUUCCAUAAUAGAAACAGUUAGUUUCUCCUAUACCUCCCAAAUGCUGAAUACAUUGAACCAGCUAGUGAAUUCCCCUCCAUGUCUAAAAAAACCCUAAUUCAUCACGGGUAAGAGGUUUUUGGUUUUUUUUCUUUUGAGACGGAGCGUCACUCUGCUGCCCAGGCUGGAGUGCAGUCGCGUGAUCUCAGCUCACUGCAACUUCUGCCUCCUGGGUUCAAGCGAUUCUCCUGCCUCAGCCCCCUGAGUAGCUGGGAUUACAGGCAUGCACCACCAGCACGCCCAGUUAGUUUUUGUAUUUUUAGUAGAGAAAGGAUUUCACCAUGUUGGCCAGGCUGGUCUCAAACUUGUGACCUCAGGUGAACCACCUGCCUAGGCCUCCCAAAGUGCUGGGAUUACAAGUGUGAACCACCGCACCCAGCCACUGGUAAGAGUUUUAACAACCUUGUGCCAGGUGUUGUCUCUGCUCCUUCUAUCACCAGUGAUGAGUUCCUUAUGGCCAACAAGGUGGUGAGUGAUCCAGGUUUAAAAUCCCAUCUUACCACCUGCAUUUUUGGGUCAUUCCUGGCACCAAUUCCUUAGAAGGAAGAAACACUGAACAGAGGGAAAGCCUGAAAGCUAUAUAGGUCUGACAAAGCUUCAGCCAAUCCAUGGGGACCUCUGGAACAUACAUAACCCAUCAGUGUUUCCCAUGGUGGGCCAAAAUGGCCAAACUUUUAUACCCAUGCCUUGCUCAGUCACCUCACAUGAGCUGCUCCAAGAACGGCAAGGCCUUGGGUAAAGCAGCUCGCUAAGCAACUAGGGCAAAUCCUAAAGGAGAUGACAGCUAGAAUUUGUCUGCUGGCAACACCCUCAUCAAUUAGGGCAACUAGUCCUCCUUGAAGAGGGAUAUAGUGCAGCAUAUUCGGGUCUACCGCAGAUAACAUGCCAGUCAUUUUAUACACAUCAUCUCAUUUAAUCCUUACAACAACUAUCAGACAUCCAUAGUACAGAUAAGGAAAUUGAAGCUCAAAGAAGCUAAAGAACUUUCCCCAAUAAUUAGCUUCCAGAACAGGUAUUAGAACCUAUGUCCAUCUUAUUUCAUACAUUAAUGUAGAUUUCUGAAGAAUAUCUAAUAGAGUGCUUGAAGAAGAAAAGGGUAAUGUACCGAUCAGGCUCACAACAGAAAAUAGCACAAUUAGGAUAAUUCAAGGAUGCGUUUUUUCGGGUUUUGCUUUGUUUUUCACAAAGGGAUGAUUUUUUUUUCUUUGAGAUGGAGUCUAGCUCUGUCACUAGGCUGGAGUGCAGUGGCACGAUCUCAGCUCACUGCAACCUCUGCCUCCUGGGUUUCAGCGAUUUUCCUGCCUCAUCCUCCCGAGUAGCUGGGACUACAGGUGUGCGCCACCAUGCUCAGCUAAUUUUUGUAUUUUUAGUAGAGACACGGUUUCACCAUGUUGGCCAGGAUGGUCUCAAUCUCUUGACCUUGUGAUCCACCUCUUGACCUCGUGAUCUGCCUGCCUCAGCCUCCCAAAGUGUUGGGAUCACAGGCGUGAGCCACCACACCUGGCCAGGGAUGAUUUUAAAGUGUCAUGUUCUAACUGAGGUCUGAGGGGAGUUGGUGGACCAGUGGCGGGCAGCUGAAAGAACACUCAAGGAAUCAUAUAGGGAUUUUCGACAUGGCUUUUUCUCUCUGGGCACAAGUGAGCUUGGGCACAAGCCAUGGGUACAAGUGGUGGGCGCAAGCUGUAUGUAUAGCAUCAGCUGGAUAGUUACACCUUUUACAGACAAUAAUGGCUCUGAGCCAAGCAAGAGCACACCUGGUUACCUAAUGUGCCUCACAUGGCAUGGUUACAUAACGUGCAGAGUUGUGCACCUGUGCUCCAAACCUGCUGAGUCAUGCUGUGCUGGAAGGCCACUUCAGCCUAUUCCUGACUAAAGCAGAACCAUUACCCUUAUACUCCACCCCCAGGCCAAGGCCAUCCUCCAGGAAGGGACAAGUGCCCAGAGACUGGACCCUUAUACUCCACCCCCUAGGCCAAGGCCAUCCUCCAGGCAGGGACACAUGCCCAGAGACUGGAGCCCUGAAUCCAUAACCCACAACAACCACACGGAGAGCAAUAGCUCACUACUAGGAUCCCAGCUAUGCUACUUUUGACUAUUAGGGCCCAGCAUAGGCUAGAGCCCAGGGAUGCCCACCCUGCAGGGGGUUGUCAGUAAGGCUCCUGACUACCUUAAUCUCCCGUGAGACUCCUUGCAGGGCUGCUGUUAUGUUCUGCCAAUUGUCAGGGAUAAAGGUACCACACUGUGUUCCUAAAAGAGCACAGGUGCCUCCUUGGACAGCAGUCAUUAAGUCUAAGGCCAUUCAGUUUUGCAACACCACCUUUCUGAUCUGAUCAACCUCAUCUGUUAACAGGAGGAGAGCCACUUGGGUGUGAUUCAGAGCCCAAGCGGUGUGCUCUGCAAGAGCAGUAACUUGUGCUUCUACAGUUAUGACACCCGCUCCAAGAACAGUCAUUGCCAAGGGGUAGAACCACCAGGGGGCUUGUUGCACUGGCAAAAACUGAGAAUGUAGUGCCUCCCCAUUAUUGGGAUGGGCAUCUGGGGAGAACAGUGGCAGGUACAUAAGGCCACCCCUAGGUACAAUAUUCAGUCCAGUCCACUGGUAGGUAAGGACACCCUGUGUCACCACAGACCCAUAAACUCCCAGGGGGCACAAAAUCCAUCGGGGCCUGAUCUUGUCUACUUGCUACCUGGUUAAGGGCACUCGCUGUAUCACUACUUGCUGUGUAACACUGGGUAGCGGUCUCCAUUUAGGGUAUGCCUGAGCACAUGCUGGGCAUUUCUGACAAGCCUCCCAAAUAUCUUGCAUGGGCAGGGACAGACCCCAACACUUAUUGACCUGUUGCAUUAGUUUAACCCCAGUUUCCAGUGUAGCCACAAGGCCACAUCUCAAGUAGGUGCUGUCUCUAACCAUCAGACCUUGGCCAAAGCAUCUGUCUCAUCAUUGCCAGGGGUGGCCAAAGGCAUAUGGCCUGACAGAUGAUAGUUACCUCUUUCUGAUGACCCAUUUCCCAGAGGUCUUGCCACAUUGCUUAGCCCCAUAUGGUUCACUGGCCAACUAGCCACUUCUGUAUUUUCCAGGUAGUUAACCACAAGGUUAAGCCUCGAUAGACCUCCCAGCUAUUGGUAAAGAUUAUCACAGGUGUCACCUCCUUGGUGAUCACCAUCCAUACUGCUCUAAGUUCAGCCCAUGGACUACUCUGUCCACAUCCAGUUUCAAAUCACAUGGUGUCAGUACUAGGUUGGACCGCAAGAGUGGUCCAGGCAGCAGUAUCAUACCCCACUGGGUAUGGGGGGACCCAUCUGUGUAUCAUACCCAUCUGUGUAUCAUACCCCAUUGGGAAUAGGGGGACGCCCUUCCUUAAAUGGUGAAGGUUCAGGGUCUAAAGGUGCCUCAGGCCCCAUGGCCUUGUCUUGCAUUAGGACUACAGGUCCCAAGAUCUCUUGCAACUCUACUGCUAAGGGACUUGUGCUCAGCGUACGCCACUGCUCCAAGUAGGCACCCCACUUUGCCAAAGUGGAUGUCUGCACCGCCCCGUUUGGGAGGCUGUUAUCCAUGAACUCAUCCAUCCCGCUCUCGGAUGCAGCAGACUGAGAAUACUGGGACCCUGAUCACUCUCACUCCACCUUGCUGAUAGAGAGGAGGUUCCAUUCAGGAAGCAGCAAGCCUAGAAGAUGAGAGGCUAUCACCUCCACCAAGAGUCUGAAGCCAUGGCUUAGAGAUUUUGCCCAGGAGAAGAGGCAGUCUAUAAGAACAGAAAUCUCUGAAGCUCUUUCCAAAGGGACUGGCUUUACUUGAAACAAAGUGUGAGAAGUUCAAGUCUAGCGUGCUCUUGACAACAACAAAAAUUUGGGGGGGAAGCAAUUAAGAGGAGGCUGGUAAUUCUUGAUAGCAACAAGCUAAGCCAUAGGCCUGCUAUUUUAUUUGAGAGAAACAGGGAAACAGCAAAAAGAGACUUCCUGGGGUUUGAACAAACCUCAAAGACUAGCUUCAAAAUCUACUCCUGCAGAGAUCUGGAUUUCAUUAAAUCAGACUGUAGCACCAUUUAUGCUUCAGGGCAUAAGUGAGCAAUCAGCCAGCAACUGGUAGAGCCUAAAAGCUGGGUGUGAUACCAAAUGAGGCAGACAGUUUAACAGGUCAGGGAAAGAGACAGAGUCUUGCUAAAACCCCUGUUAUUCAAGGGUAACUGGGCACAGACCUAAGUCUGUAUUCUUUGAGGAGUGGCACUAGAGGCUUCACACUGUGGGGGAAUUAGACUUCACUAAAAUAUUCCAGCCAAAUCACUAAGCAAACAACAAAAACAAGCCCCACAGAGGGAGAAGGGUAUCAGUGCCUACAGCAGUAUGUAACUGAAAGCAUCUAGUUUUCACCAAAAAAUUAUGAGACAUGCAGAGAAACAGAAAAGUGUGAUCAGCCCACAGGGAAAAUUUAGGCAACAGGAGCUGCCUGUGAGAGGGCUCUGAUGUCAGAUUUAAUAAAGACUUCAAAGCAACCAUUAUGUUCAUGCAUUCAGUGUUCAAAGAUCUCAAAGAAAAAUAAACAUGCUUAAAGUAGUAAAGAAAGAUAUGAUGAUUGUCAGGCCUCUGAGCCCAAGCUAAGCCAUCAUAUCCCCUGUGACCUGCAUGUAUACAUCCAGAUGGCCUGAAGCAAGUGAAGAAUCACAAAAGAAGUGAAAAUGGCUAGUUCCUGCCUAAACUGAUGACAUUCCACCAUUGUGAUUUGUUUCUGCCCCACCUUAACUGAGCGAUUAACCUUGUGAAAUUCCUUCUCCUGGCUCAGAAGCUCCCCCACUGAGCACCUUGUGACCCCCACCCUUGCCCACAAGAGAGCAACCCCCUUUGACUGUAAUUUUCCACUACCCACCCAAAUCCUAUAAAACGGCCCCACCCCUAUCUCCCUUCGCUGACUGUUUUUGGACUCAAGCCACCUGCACCCAGGUGAAAUAAACAGCCCUGUUACUCACACAAAUCCUGUUUGGUGGUCUCUUCACACGGAUGCGCGUGACAAUGAUAAUGUUGCAUCCAAUGAAAAAUGUCAAUAAGGAGAUAGAAAAAAAUAACAAAAUGGAAGUUCUGGAAGUGAAAAAUAUAAUAACUAAAAUGAAAAAUUCACUAGAGUAGCUCAACAGUAGGUCUAAACUGGCAGAAGAGAGAAUCAGCAAACUUGAAGAUAGAUCAAUAGAGAUUAUGCAAUCUGAAGAACAGAGAGAAAGAAGAAUUAAAAAAAAUGAACAGCCUCAGAGAAUGUGGGUUGUCAUUAAGUGCAUUAAGUGAUGGUAGUUUCAAAAGC
rnacentral:lncRNA from 1 species